rnacentral:miRNA from 1 species
GGGCGGGAAUUCAGAGCCAGUCA